UAUACGCUGGAAGAUUAUGCACUCGGUUGCCGUAGGAAAUUAUUGUAUUAUUACGAUGUCAAAGUACGCGUUGGGUCGCAGAGGCAAUUAAUAGCUGCAUCGUUGAUAUCAGUGAUCUGGCAUUAUCCGAGAGAUAAGAUAAACUAUUAAUCGAGAAGCCCCUGGCAUAAAUUUAUAAUCAAUUUUGUGGCUAUCUCAACAACCGCGUUCUACAUUUCUUGAAUAGACAAAGCACUCGGUGUUCUCGAAUAUUUACAAUAAAAUAUUAUUACAUCUUUGUGUUUUAACGGUGUAAAAGCAGUCGUCCUGAGCAAAGAAGUUUUUACAUUUCGGAAUGGAGCAUCACGAGGGAAUCCGGGUGGCGACUUCAAGCGCAGAAAUGAUGUGCAGCGAGCGUAGAAACGCGACUUCGUUAUGCUGGGACAAAUUUCGAUACCGAACUCUUCUCACUCUGAUAGCGUUGUUCGUUGUCUGGGCGGCGGUUUUCUUCUCGGUCGGAUCGACGGUCGACGAAACGGAGGAUCACACCGGACAUUGAUAAAAAUAUUAUCCACCCUCUCUCGAUUCAUCGCCGAAGCUGCAAUUUUUAGUCACAAGAUGUAAACCGUAGUGAAAUAAAUGAAAUGUAAUUCC
rnacentral:lncRNA from 1 species